CUUCCCAAAACGUAGACUAGUCACUGAUUCCGCCUACCCGUGGUAGCCGCGGAUUGGAGCGUGGCGAGAAGUGUGUGACCAAUCACUUCUCUCAACAGAGAAAGAGAAAUAGGAGGGGAAAGUGAAAAUAGUACAGUGAGUAAGAUAAAAGUAAACACAGGAAUCUGUGUGACAGACAAUUAAGUCAAUAACAUUUCAGUGUAAAUACAGUGCAUGCAUCACAGUUCAAAUAAGUUCAACAGUGUUAUCCCUUGCCUUUACUCGUGUGGCCAAAAGCCACCUCCCUCAACCUCGUAUUGUCCCUGUUGCGGACCCACCCGCAAGUCUCACUACCAGCAGCCACAGGAAACAGCAACAGCUUCCAACCCGAAUCCUGUAUAGCCUAAAGAAUUGGAAUCUUACCUGCCUCAGCGCUUGAGACUGGAAUUUUACCAAGAAGAAGUGUCUGAUGAGGCUAGCUAAGCGGUCAAAAUGACACUCUGGGGAUCCCCAGGAAGCAGUGAGUCUACUGCCCUCCACAGAUCCCCCCUACUCUUUUUCCUUACAGCCACAGCCACGUGGCUCCUAAAAGAGUUAAACAGGCAAUAGAGGACCCCCAGGAAAACUUCCACAGGUCCACCCCCCUUUU